UUCUCCCCAGAGCGUUAGUCGAGACACUGCCCACCUCUGUUAGGCCGACAGCGGCGAGCUCUUUCAGCACUGCCACCACCAUCACCACUUGCGACGAAGACGAAGAAACCGCCUAAGGGCAUGCGCGCCAUCCAUUCCAUCGCACCGCUGACACUGACGUACGUUCUCUUCCCUCCCUAACCACGUGAAUACUUCUGUCGGUGUAGCCAGACAUCGCAGCUAGAUGUUGCCAGUCACGUUGUCGAGUAGCGCAGAGGGCUGACAGAAAAGACAACAAAUCUAAACAUCGUUCUGGAAGGAUACAUUAGCCGUCUAACUAAGAGACUGGACUGUUAGGCAAACCUUUGGACGGGAUCGGAAUGGCUUCAUCAGCAGAUUCAUCCUGAGUGCGCAGUCGUCUGCUGAGUCUAACCACAGUAAAAGUCUGUCCGAGUGCACUGGAGCACGUGGGGAGGAUGUGGAACAUGACAGUGAGUGCGAAGUUACGAUACAGGAUCGUUUCAGUACCAGCACCAAUACAUAGCUACGUGGAGUGCGCCAGACACAGUCCUGGUCUUCGGGAGAUGCAGUUCGUAUGGAGACGUCAUGUGCCCCGCGUCGCCUUCUGCAGAGGAAAACAUGCAAGAUGAUGGCUUCUGAAACAUUCGUGGUUGUGCGUGCGGAAGUGCACUUGUCCAAACUGAACAUACAUCGUCGGCUGUGCAUGGAUUCAGCGAGGUACCACAUGAGGCAAUGACAUCUAGUACAUUGGCGGCGCAAGGCCAUAGGCUAUUAGAAAGAUUUGUAGCCGAGAAAGUAUCUAAGCCCGACAAAGAGGAGUCGGAUGUGAUCCCGACACUGAACAGCUUAGAGCAAGACUCAAACUGGAACCCGUACAGACCGUUGGCGGUGCUGAACACUCGGCAUUGACGAAUUACGCUGAUGUUAUGAUAUUGUUGAAAACGUUGCUGGUUGCUUACGUGCGUAAGGAUGUACGGGAAGCACCCUUCCUGGCAAGAUGCGUAGCUGGGUUACGAUAAUCAAGUUGCAGUUAUCAAUACAGAAUUACGGCAUUGGUUUUA